CCCGCCCUUCCCUUUCUGCUUGCCUGCCUCCUGGCUUGCUUGCUGGCUCCCUCCCUCCUAACUUGAACUACAGGACAGAUGACAUUUUCUUUUUUCUCUCUCGUGGCAGCCGCCUAUCCUUCAUCUGCUGGGUUUUUGCAGCCACAACUGGCCGCCCUAAGUGAACUCGUGUUGAGGAUUCUCGUGAUUUUUUUAAAGCUUUUAUGUGGCAAACCAGAAUAUGGAAGAUGCCUGGGGAAAGCAUAAAACAGACACAUAUCCAGACUACGAGAUCUGUGGGUCUUCUAUAUUAUUCUGUGAACAAGGUAAUGGGAUUGUCGUUAUGGCCUCAUCUGGAAGAAUCCCAAAUUGCGUGGGACAGCAUCUAAUCACUGUUCCCUCUAGGGAAGGAAGUGGCAGCAAACAGUAAGUUGCGAAGCAAGUUUUAAAGGAAGGACAAACCUCUAUUUAAACCUUUAUGUAAAUUGCAAUUGUUAUUGUUAGUU